UACAGAGGUCUCAAGCGUUGUUCGGAUUCAUUGGGCGUAAAGGGUGCGUAGGUGGCGCCAUAAGUCGGGUGUGAAAUCUCGGGGCUUAACUCCGAAACUGCAUUCGAUACUACCGUGCUUGAGGACUGGAGAGGAGACUGGAAUUUACGGUGUAGCGGUGAAAUGCGUAGAUAUCGUAAGGAAGACCAGUGGCGAAGGCGGGUCUCUGGACAGUUCCUGACGCUGAGGCACGAAGGCCAGGGGAGCAAACGGG
rnacentral:rRNA from 1 species